UCGAAAUAUUGGGUGAAAAGAAUUAUUCGGGGGUGGGAUCAGCAAAUUUAGGGGCGCAAAUAGAAUUCCACGAAUACUUGAUCUAGUCUCUGGACUCUGGAGCCUCCCCGCACUUCUGAAAAGAAAGAGCAAGCCUCUCGACACUUGCAUUUUCAGUCCAACCCAUUAGAGCCCUCUCUGCUGUGCGCCCUCCAUCUUCAUCUUUCAUUUUCAGUCCCAGCUCCCUCCUUUCAGUCUCUUGCUCGGUAAGUGUAUGCUGUAAUUUUUGUUUUUAAUUCCUAUUGUAUUUAUGGGUUUCCUGAAUAAUCAAAUAUUGUCUGUUUCCAAAGGAAAAAAGAAGAAUUGAAAAUUGUUUGAUUAUAAUUUGAAAAUCAGCAAGCAUGUUUUUAUUUUUGUUUCAUUAUUAGUAUUGAUUGGAAAAUUGGCCGCCACCAACUUCCUCUUGCCCCAUUCACCCAUCGAGCAGUGAAAUUUUUAAGUAUUAUUUGGUAUAUAUGCUUUUGUAUCUGGUUUUUAUGUUUUUGGUUCUUGUGUUUGAUUUGUAAGGAUUGAUUUUUUAGUGUGUUUUUGGUUAGUGAUUAUCACACAUUUGCAAUUAUUUGUUUGGGUUAAAUCUGCUGCCCAAACCAAUCAAACUGCCCAAAAGGGAUUGUGUUUAUAGGUUCAAGUGUGCGGUCGGGGCUCGAACCAAACUAAUGCGUUCCUUGCCCACCCAUUGAUUAUGGGAUGUAGCUUAUUUUUGGUUGCUAGAUGUCCAACACUCCUUUCUUUUGAUACUUGAAAAUGUAACAGUAGGAUUUGGAUUGUUUAGAUGUCUUCCUCUUUUUCUUUUCCUUUUGGUUUAUAAAGAACAAAACAAAGUCUGCUUAUCUGAAAACAAAAUUAUUUCACUGGGUGGCAGUAAGAAUCAAGUGAAAGGUCAUCUGUACGAUGAUUGGAUGAUCAAUUCAGAUCAUUCUUAAAAGUGCUUAUUUGUCUAAGAGGUACUUUGUGUCAUUACUGAUAUUUAUAUUUGAAAGCUGUAUACUUUGUUUUUAUGAAAAAACUGCAAGGGGCAUAUUUAAGAUGUGCAGAAACCAUUAUCCAAAGAUAAUGUGUCAUGCCCUCUUUCGAAUAACAGUGACAAAUGUUUUUGCAUUAUAAUUUUCUCAAAUUUCGAUGUGUAAAUUAAUUAUGUAAUAAUUGAAAAAUAUUCUCAGAUAGAAAUGAUUUCUUAAUCAUAUCUUGCAACUUGAGUAUCUGCAACUCCAUAGCUGUGUCCUCUUCUUCAACUUCAAUGUGUAGAUUUUGUUUAUAAGGUUGGACAGUUAUAAUUGCCAACUUAGUAGCAGCAUAAGCUUAGCUAAGAUGUCUUUCGUCUUUUUAACUCUGCCUAUAAUAGAGCAGGUUUUCUCUUUGUUGUCGAUCGAGGAUAACUUAUCCUCUUGAUUAUUAAUACAAAAGUUUGUAUUAAAAAAAAAAUAUAGUAGCAGCAAAACCUAAAUAAAAAUCAACCUUCUUGGCCACUUACUGAAAUGAUGAGGUGAUUCUUUACCACAGAGAAUAACUUAUAAUUUUAAUUCUAAGUUUGAACCAUACUGCACCUAUACUUCAAACUUUUUCCAGUGGAGGUAUCAAAUAUAGAUACGGAUAUGAUAAUACAUGCUGGGAAAUGAAGUAUUGUUAACUUUUCUAUUUUGCUGGAUACGGUGUCGAUACAGAACUGAUACUCACAGGAAACUGUCCCAAUACGGUCAAGAUACGGCUAGUGGUUAUUUAGAAAUUGUUUGAAAAUUUAUGUGGUAUUUUUUAAUAUUAUAACAAAUAUGGGGUCGAAAUGUGAAUUUUAAAACUUGGCCAGAUCACACCCAGCCUAUUUUUCUCAACAGAAAGAGGAAAAGCUAGGUUUUCACAUUUGAAAAGAAACUGUGGCACCAACCAAUUCAAAGAUCCAGAAGGAAGAAGGAAGAAGAAAGAAAUUUCAAAAGGACCUCUUCUUCUCCACUGAAAGUUCUGCUUCUGCAUCUGCUACACCAGGUCUUAGCCCACGUUAACUUGUUGCUCCUUCACUUACUUUGCAGAUGUAUUAGAGUUAGUUUAUUCAUUAUAACCAAAUCCAAAUCCUGUCCAGAUUCUAUCGAGUAACAAGAAAUUAAAACUCUUUUAUGAAAGAUAUUUUCGAACAAGAAAUGGGUAGUGGGGGGGAUUUGGGCACUUCUAGUGCUAAUGAUGCUCAUGAUGUGGAGUUAUAACCAAUUCAUUCAUUAUAACCAAUUUUGUAUUUAAAUUAUUUAAAAUAUAUAUUUACAUUAUUUUAAUUGUCGUAUCCUUGCUGUACUUGUAUCCUAGUUUUUGGACAUUUGUUGUAUCAACAUAUCGUAUCGUUAUACUCGUACCUGUGUCCAGGCAAUGAGUAUUACAGUUAAGUAGCACUGAGUGAAGAUGGCUUAAGAUAAAUAAGUUUUUAUUUUAGAUAAUAAAAACAUGUACUCAUGCUAGAUUCUCUUCUUAGAAAGGCUGAAAUUUUGAAGAUUUAAUGGGAUUCUUUAGGCUUGCCCUGAUUUUCUGGUUCCUUGCUGAAUAUGGUUUUUAUUUUGAACUCCCUUUUCGAGUGAUCUUUUGUUGGGUUGGUAAGUCCCAAUCUUACCAAUGUGUGUACAUGUAGGACCUAUGUAAAAAGUAUUUGAAGACAUUUCCAUGAGAAGUUAGUGUUCUGUUCUGUUUCUAAUGCCCAACUGAAGGGAAAGGAAAUAAUUUUAUAUGUUAUAAUUUGUGUUUGUAGGCCAUUACUAAGAACUAGUGUUUGAGUUGUAUACACGUUCACAUCACUUGAGUUCAGACAUGAACUCUUACAUUUUCCCCUGUGGGACUCUAAAUGGGAUGCUGAUUUUUCAGUUGUGAUAAUGUAUUUGUUAUUUAUAAUGUUUAUAAUCUAACUUUGUUAUUUAGUUUUUAUUAAUCGAAGGCUGGUGUACGAUCUGCAUAUUCUGUAUAUUAUGCAUUUGGUUGCCAUGAAAACAAAACCCUAAAAGAAAAUUUUAUUUCUUAUGUUGCUGAAAAACACUUAGAAAGUGGAAAUUUGUAGCUUCUGAAAAAUAUUAUGUUUUGUGUUUGUUUUAUUUUAAGUUUUGUUGUGUGAUUCUUUGGACGUUUUUGUUGAAAUGUAGCAGAAAGUUUUACAGGCUCUGAGCUAAGCAGAAAAAUGGUAUUAAUGAGGGGAGAGCCACUAGUAACGAAGCUUGCAGUGUUGGCCAAGUACGUGGUUCUUCCUGGAGCCAUGGUCGCCGCCCUCAUCUAUUCACCUCCUGAUUACACUUCUUCCAAGAACGAUCCAAAGUCCACCAAAUAAGAUGUAGCUCGGUCAGUACCUUUUCCUCUUUGCUAAAACUCUGGUUUCAUAUAUCUGUUGUGAUUUGAAUGACCUGGCAAGUGUAUGUGAAAUUUCCAUUUAGUGCUUUUUGACUUUGCCUUUUAAGGCCUUCAAUUAUUAUUAUUUGUAGAAUUCUGUGUAGGUACCAGUGCUAUAGAUAUUACCCACAUAUAUGUUGCCCUGGAUGUGGUUAAGGUACUAUAGGUACUUAAUUGUUUUCAAAUACGUCUUAUAUCCAUCGGAUAUAAGAAAACGAAAUUAUUAUAUACCUUUGUUUUUUGGUUGCUAAAAAUGAGAGGCUUUCACGGUGGAGCUUGGCAGGAGUGUGGUUCUUUGGGAGUUUGAGGUUUAUGAUAGAUAUGAGUGUCGGUGUUAUAGGGUGAGAUGAUGAGAGUGUGAGACCCACAUUUAUGUGAGUGAAAGAGAAGAUUGGGUUAAGUGGUGUGUGGCUAUUCAUUAGGGGUAUAUGGUAUUUCCAUUUGCAAUUUGCUCAAAAUUUUUUAUUUGCAUGAAGGAAAAGGGUUCGCACAUCACCAUGGGUGCUAAAAGUGGUCGGCUUUGUAAAAAACUUGACGAAAUAAGAGAAAUUAACUUUGGCUAUAUUUAAAACCAUAUUGUGCUUUCCCAGGAUAUGCUAUAUUUUCAUUCCCCUUGAAUUUCAACAAGCAGACAGAAUUUGUUAUGAGAUUGUGUAAAGUCGAAAUAUAGGUAGCUUGAUUAUGUGCUUUUGAUUAAGUCUGCAUGCUCUAAAGUAUUAUGUAAAUCAACUCCAGAGUGCAGUCUCGUGAUCUAUAGUAGUUCUCCACUAAAAUGUUCAAGUUUAUUUCGAAAUUUUGUUUUCUAUUGCUUAUUCUUCUUGCAUACAUCUCAGCUUUGAUACCUCUUUUCGUAUUUUCUUACACAGCUGGGAUAUGAGAGUGAUUGUUUAAGAAAAACGAAAAUUGUGCCGGAUAACUGAUCGUAAAUUUCCUUUUGUACAGGGCCGUACUGCAUAGAAGUGGAUGUUGGAGAUGUGCUCGCCUCCCGUUCAAAUUUCGUAUGGAAUAAUCUGAGCCUAAUAGUUGCUCAAGUUGAGGGAUUUUUCCUGCUUUCUUUGAAGAACUUUGACAUGAACUCUUUAAAUGUACUUCCUUAUUACCAGAUUUCCUCUGUCAAUCCCUUAAUCAAAUGACUCUCGACGAAGAACACUUGAUUACAAUAAUUGUUAGAUGAUAUUUGCCAGACUUGGUUAGGGAUGAAAUCUCAUUGGAUGACUAGUGCUGCGACUGAUGAUAUGUUUUGUUCACAACCUGUCCCAGCAGCUCUCUGUUUCUUGUCACAAAACGUAAACCUUGAUUAGGAUUUAAUUUGUUGAGGCUUUUUCUAAUCAGUGGGGGAGGGAUUCGAAGGUUGAACAACUUCCAGCAUUGGAGAAGCAAUAUAGUUG
rnacentral:lncRNA from 1 species